CGGGGUGAUGAUGCCGAGAUAGGAAGUGCCGUCAGAUGCGAGAACUGACGAGACGCUCAUCUCCGUCUGACC
ensembl:snoRNA